rnacentral:rRNA from 1 species
GUAGGUGGCAAGCGUUGUCCGGAUUUAUGGGUUUAAAGGGUGCGUAGGCGGCCCUGUAAGUCAGUGGUGAAAUAUCUCAGCUUAACUGAGAGGGUGCCAUUGAUACUGCGGGGCUUGAGUACAGAUGAGGUAGGCGGAAUUGACGGUGUAGCGGUGAAAUGCAUAGAUAUCGUCAAGAACUCCGAUAGCGAAGGCAGCUUACUAAGCUGUAACUGACGCUGAGGCACGAAAGUGUGGGGAUCAAACAGGAUUAGAUACCCUGGUAGUCCACACUGUAAACGUUGAUGACUCGAUGUUGGCGAUACACAGCCAGCGUCCAAGAGCAAUCGUUAAGUCAUCCACCUGGGGAGUACGCCGGCAACGGUG